UACGGAGGGUGCAAGCGUUAAUCGGAAUUACUGGGCGUAAAGGGUGCGUAGGUGGUUUGAUAAGUUAUCUGUGAAAUCCCCGGGCUUAACCUGGGCAGGUCAGAUAAAACUGUUGGACUCGAGUAUGGGAGAGGGUAGUGGAAUUUCCGGUGUAGCGGUGAAAUGCGUAGAGAUCGGAAGGAACACCAGUGGCGAAGGCGGCUACCUGGCCUAAUACUGACACUGAGGCACGAAAGCGUGGGGAGCCAAACAGG
rnacentral:rRNA from 1 species